CCUACGGGAGGCAGCAGUAAGGAAUAUUGGUCAAUGGGCGCAAGCCUGAACCAGCCAUGCCGCGUGCAGGAAGACGGCCCUAUGGGUUGUAAACUGCUUUUGAACAAGAGAAAACCUCGGUACGUGUACCGAGCUGAUAGUAUUGUUAGAAUAAGCAUCGGCUAACUUCGUGCCAGCAGCCGCGGUAAGACGAAGGAUGCAAGCGUUAUCCGGAUUCAUUGGGUUUAAAGGGUGCGUAGGCGGCCUGAUAAGUCAGUGGUGAAAUCUCUCAGCUUAACUGAGAAACUGCCAUUGAUACUGUCGGGCUUGAGUACAGAUGAUGUGGGCGGAAUAUGACAUGUAGUGGUGAAAUACUUAGAUAUGUCAUAGAACACCGAUUGCGAAGGCAGCUCACAAAACUGUAACUGACGCUGAGGCACGAAAGUGCGGGGGAUCAAACAGGAUUAGAUACCCUGGUAGUCCGCACCGUAAACGAUGAUUACUCGUUGUUGGCAAUAUGACCGUCAGCGACCGACGACGAAGACGAGUAAGUAAGUACCGACCCGUACGGGUAGGUACGGCCCGGACCGAACCGGUACGGUAAACGUAACGAAACGUAAGUAAGUUAGGUACGGACGGUUGGAGGACGUUACGGCCGGACGGGACGACCGACGAGGGGAGGGUAGGG
rnacentral:rRNA from 1 species